GCUGAGGUAGCUCAGGCGGUUAGAGCAACACAUUGGUAAUGUGUCGGUCGUGGGUUCGAAUCCCACCCUCAGCU
rnacentral:tRNA from 1 species